rnacentral:lncRNA from 1 species
GGCCCAGCUCAGACUCUCCAUUCUGGGAGACAGGUCACGUCCACCACCCGGGGUGCGGUGCGAGCCAAACUAAUCAAUGGCAGAGCUGUAGAUUAAGGGGCCCGGCUCCAAGCCAUCCAUCACUGUCGUUUACACGGGCCUGUCAGCCUGCAAAUGGAAAAGGAGAUGAUGUGAAACAACCCAUCUGCAGGUUUUUAACGCUCUUUACAAAUCGCUGUGGUGAAUAACUUGUUGCCUGUAUUUAUCCCUUUUCAAAUUGUCUCUUAGCUACAGUCAUUCGUCUUCAUUCUACACCCUGAUGGCGCGUGCACCGCCAGUUGGGCAACCUCAUUAUUUCCCUGCUGCCUGGAAGAGGAAGGGGAAGAAGGAAGGGAGGGGAGAGAGGAAGAAGAUGAGAGAGGUCCCCACUGCCUGAGCUCCUGGCGGGAGAACCCGGCCCUCUUCCAGGGAGUUUGAGAGCAGGACUGCCCUCUGCAGAGGAGGCCCAGGACACCCUCAGGUUGCCAGACCAAGGCUAUUUUUAGAAAAAUCAUGACUCACAUUUUGAAAGGCGGAAGAAAAAAAGUCUUUUUCCCCAGCAAUCAAAUGUUCCCGUCCUCUGGGUGACACACAUUUAGGGUUCAAACCAAGCCGGAUAACAACCUCAGUGUUCAAGGCCCUCUGUGAAAUCUGCCAGGGAGGCUGCUGGAAGAAUCCCACCUCCGAAAGGGAAACCAAGCCACAACGUCCAAGGGCUGGUCCAACACCAGGACUCCAGGAAGGAGAAGACGCCUGCAACCAUGUCUGAACUUGUCCCCCAGGCAGAGUCGAUGAAGGGGGCCGGGGGGUCCACCUCUUCCAUUUGGCCUUCCUAGAACGGUCCAUCUGGAGAGGGAAGUCCUUGUACGCUUCCCCCAGUCGCUACCUAAGUAACAUCCACACUCUCUCCACCUUCCACGUGCAGAGGGCUUUAA